UAGUCUAACCGCAAGGGGGACGGUUACCACGGAGUGAUUCAUGACUGGGGUGAAGUCGUAACAAGGUAGCCGUAGGGGAACCUGCGGCUGGAUCACCUCCUUAAU
rnacentral:rRNA from 1 species